AUGGCGUCUUCCGGAGCUUCGAGUUCCUCAGGAGUCAAUGAUGUAGAGCAGAUGAUGAAGGAAUUGGGCCUGACAGAGGAGGACUUGGAUGAUGUUGUGUUUGAUGAGGAAGCUGCACCGCCCGAGGGGCCUAGAUGGAUAGCCCUGGCGAGGGUUAACACCUGCAAGAACUACAGUCAGACUUGGUUCUACAGGAACAUGCGAGCGGCUUGGGAUAUUGCGCAAGAGGCGAGAUUCAAACCUUUGGAGGAUAACCUAUACACUAUCCAAUCCUCUUGCCUUGGAGAUUGGGAGAGAGUCAUGAACGAUGGCCCAUGGAAUUUUAGAGGAGAUGCGGUGAUACUUGUGCCGUAUGAUGGGAUCUCGAAGCCUUCCACUGUUAAGCUUGAGACAAUUGAUAUAUGGAUCCAAAUCCAUGAUGUACCAGAUUUGUACGCCCAUCUCGUAACUGCGCUUGCUGCUAAGGUGGGAGAAGUGCUUUUCUCUGAACCCAAAUCACAUGAUUUUGUUGGCAACUUCCACCGAGUUUGGGUCAGAAUCAAUGUCUCAAAACCCCUCAAGAAUGCGGUGUCCAUGAUUAGAGAUGGGAAGAGACAGAUUUAUAGAGUCAAGUAUGAGAAGCUCCCGGACUGGUGUGCGGUUUGUGGC
rnacentral:rRNA from 1 species